UGGGGAAUAUUGCAUAAUGGGCGCAAGCCUGAUGCAGCCAUGCCGCGUGUAUGAAGAAGGCCUUCGGGUUGUAAAGUACUUUCAGCGAGGAGGAAGGCGUUGUGGUUAAUAACCGCAACGAUUGACGUUACUCGCAGAAGAAGCACCGGCUAACUCCGUGCCAGCAGCCGCGGUAAUACGGAGGGUGCAAGCGUUAAUCGGAAUUACUGGGCGUAAAGCGCACGCAGGCGGUCUGUCAAGUCGGAUGUGAAAUCCCCGGGCUCAACCUGGGAACUGCAUCCGAAACUGGCAGGCUAGAGUCUUGUAGAGGGGGGUAGAAUUCCAGGUGUAGCGGUGAAAUGCGUAGAGAUCUGGAGGAAUACCGGUGGCGAAGGCGGCCCCCUGGACAAAGACUGACGCUCAGGUGCGAAAGCGUGGGGAGCAAACA
rnacentral:rRNA from 1 species